CCCCACCCAUGGUCCUCUUUUCUUUGUUUCCCGCCGACAAUGGUGGCCCUCCUGAUGAUGAAAGCUUCUAUUUCUUCUCAUCUCCAGCUUUGUAAAAGGAGAGAGAUGGGAGCCAUUUUUUUUUCGAAGAUCCAGCAGGAGGGGGGAGACACCCACAAGCCCCAAUCCCUUUGGGAUUUUUCAUCUCCCUCUCAUCAACACCAAGAGAAGCCAAGGAAGCCGCUCACCCAAAUAAAGCCCUUCCCCCCUGGUGAAUUAUUUUUUUUCUCCCGGGCAGCCACCAUCAGAAAACCAAGGCAGCCCCCCCUGGUUUUGAUUUUUGACCGGCUGUGAGACAAGCCUCCAUUUUGAUUUUUUUUUUCUUCUUUCCCCGUUGAAGCCGCUGGCCAGCCCCCCACCACUUUGAAUUUUUUUUAUUUUUUUCUUCUUUCUGGUUCUCACCCAAAGACAACCGAACCAGCCCCCCCCAUCCUCUGCUUUGUUUUGGUUUUCCUUUCAACACCGGAACCAUUCUCUUCUUCUCCUUCAACCAGCCACAACCGAUUUUCCCCUUCCUCACCGAACCCGAAACCAGCCGUCAAUCUUCCUUGUCCCAGCACCGAACCAGUUCUCCAAGGCAGCCUUCACCC
rnacentral:lncRNA from 1 species